AGUAGGCUUCUUCUAAGGAAGACAUUUAAACAUCGAAUCAACAGCCAGUUUUUUUUUCUUUUAUUACUAAUGUUACAUGCUACAUAGUCUUUUUAUUUCUUUGUUAAGGUUCUAACUACUGGCAAAAAAUACUGCCUCCUGGGUCCCAGGAUUGUUGGGAAACUACAGCAACCUGGGUUCGGGAGAGCAGGUCUGGGGCAAAGCUGAACUCAAGGGACUUGUUCACAUGCUAGGUAGAAAGAGUACUUCUGUGAAAACCCAGAGACCAAAUAUCCUAAAGCCAGGGGCCUUGGCUGCCGCAGGGUCACAUGGUACUGUGCUGCACCUCUGCACUUCUGCUACUCGGCGUGGGCCCCGCAGCAGCAGCAGCAGCAGCGACGACACUCCAGGGACUUGAUGGGAGAUGCAGACUCUCAGGCCUGACCCCCGCCGCCUCAGCCAGAGCCUGCACUUCACUGCAACCCCCGGGGGAGGCUGCGGCACACUCGAGUGCAGGGAGCGCUGCUCCUAACCCUCUGGCUCUGAGGUCCAGUGUCGGGCAAUCCAUUUAUCCACCGCCACAGCCCCAUUCGCCGGUCGCACCUUUAACAGCAAACACAGGUGGUGGUGGUCUGAUCUGCCCUCUUGCCUUCUUCUUUCCUUGGUGGGCUCUGCGUCUGGGAACAAGCGAUGGUGGUGGUCACUGGCUCCCUCCAACGUCCUCCACCUCCCCGUCCUCAGAGCCUGUGGCCACCGCUCAGCACUGACUCUGACCGAUCAGCUGCACUGGACGGCUGCCGCGUCCCCACCCCCUCUUCACAGGCCACCGUCCUCGCCGCCCGGCCUCUGCAGGCUGCAGUGCUCCCGGACACAAGCCCCGGUUCUCCUCUCCGGCUACACUCGCCGGCCAGGUCUGCUCGCCGGCCACCUCCACGCCCACGACUCCCAAACGUACGUCUCCAGCCCCAGCCUCUCCCUCGGAAUCCAACCAGGGUACCCAGCUGCCUCCCCGACUCCACGUUCCGGUGGCAAUGCUGGCAUCUCGGAGUGAACGUGACCGAAACCGGGCUCCUAAUUCAGUGCCGGUCUACGGUGAUCACUGUGCACGCUCUGCUUACAACGGGAACUUGUUAACUCAAGCUGAUACGGUGAAGUUUUCCACUCGCCCAGACCCCCAAACACCACCACCACUACAGACUCACUGUAACUGGUGUUCUGGAUGAUCAGAAAGGAACACGAAGGUCGUAACACCGUCUCCACGAGUGAAGAAAAAUGAAUCUCUGUGUGAUUACCAUUCAAAGGGUGAAGAAUGAACGCACAUCGAGAGCCUCCUGAUGCACUGGUUGUACCUUUAUUAUUUGACCUCGUUCACUACUAGUUCCGUGAUGCAAGGUUACCAUACACAGUUAGAUAAUGUCUGCAUUGCACGUCUACGGCUAUACAGCAAAAGAACCAGAAUUAGUACAAAUACGAGAACUAUAUUUACAUUCUGUAUACCCAAGCUCCAAACAUCAGAUAGUAUUUACAUAAUAAAACAUGGAAAUGAAAACCUGAAAUCAAUAAUGUACACUGUUGCUAAUGUGCUGAACUCCUUCACCGGGGAGAGAUCAGGUUGCGAAGUCUUGGUUCAAAAAGGCCACUUAUGUUCAUGGGUUUUGUUGCGGUGCACAGGGUGGUGACACGAGACCCGACAUCUCAACGACAGGUACGUGAGAGCCACGAAGGCUGAGACACCGCCUUGGGCGUGAGAAGGCGGGCAGAGUCCUCACGUGAACUGAUGCCAGAAUAUGCAGCUUGAAAAAAAAGCGACGCGAAGACGGAAAACAGCACGGGACAGCCAGGGUCUGGCGAGAGACCAACCUCGGCGCAGACCUCCCAUCUGAGCACGGCCGUCUGUUCGGCCGUGAGUUUUUAACAUGGAGUCUGUGUCAACUCUCAUUUCUUCCUUCAGGUGGUUAGAGGCUUUCCUAAGAUUUUAUGGGGCUCGAAUACGAAUUUCAUAAAUGGCCUUUUGAACAGCAAAAGCAGAUAAUCUCUCGGCUGAUAUUUCAAUUCGAAGGAAACACAUAUCAGUACAUUCCUACCUCACACAGUAAUGGCUUGGCCACACACUUGGCUGAAUCAUCGCUGGCUACGGUGGACAGCUGCAUGCAGGACACACGGGUUAGAGUCCUACUGGAAAUACAUUCAGCAUACCUUCUGAGGGCAGCAGCAGAGUUAGGGUUCUUUGUAAGGAGCAGGUUAACAGUCACAUUUUAAAAGGGGAACCGAAAGGGAAAACGAAGGACCCAAGCCAGACAGACAAGCCCCGAUGCCGCCCGCAGACCCCGGGGGGGGACACAGCGCGGGGGGCGCUGAGUACCGCCCGGCACUGCGCGCUGGGCCGCCCUCUCUUUUCCAGUCCACUGUGCAAUUAAUUACAGCUGUAUAAAUAUACAAAUACCUUACAAAAUUAAAUAUCCCUGUAAAUUAGAGAAGAAGCAGCAGGCAACAAAGUCUUUGCUUUGAAAUAUGUGCCAGGUGAAGUCAUUUUCUUUUUAGAUCCCAAAAGACCUUUCACAAUGAUUUAAUUUAUUCCUUCAUCUUGAAAGAGCUGAAAAAAAUCCAUCAAAAAUAUGAGCAGCUCUCUAAGUUCUACAGAGCUGAGGAAGAAAAAAAAACCAUAUAUAUACUGAUAAAAUCAGAGUGGUUUGCUGGUUGGGAAAAAUCAUUUUCCCCUGCCAUCACCCGGUUUUAACGAUGUACUGCAAUUUAGGUGCCCGCCCAGCCGCAGCGGCAGCCUUCCCGAGCUCCUGGCUGUGUGCAGGGGCUGGCCGGCCCCGCAGAGCCCGGCCUGAGAGCUGGCUGACCCCCAGGCAGGCGCAGGCAGGAGGGCGCGCGCCGGUCUGGUGCGGGCUGUGAGGCCGGGCUUUGCUCUGGCAGGAGACAGGAGGAGGGGAAGGAUGGGAGCAGAUGAUUAACAAGCACUCAUUUCUUCACUUGUGUACGAGUCUCCUUACUUGCCUUUUUUUUUUUUUUGCUUGUUAAAAGAAGUAUUUUAGGAAGAAAAUUUAAAAACCUUCAAAAUGGUGGUUUUCUUAAAACGUUAAGUUCAUUACUAAACUUCCCUGCCACUAUGGCUUUGGCUAAAGCCCCAUAAAUAGCUCCUGUCAUAAACCGUCUCUCAGAGCUUCAAAGUGGGGACGAAUCUGUCUGCAAAGGGAAAGUCAACUCUGAGACCGCUCUAACUCAGAUCUGAGGAUGGGCCCUUUGAGAAAGAGAGACCAAGAGAGGCCGUCCGUGCCUGUCAGCCGCAGCGGCGGAGGCCCCUUGGCUGGGAGCAGGCGCUCCCACCCGCCCGAGCGAGAGCCCUGCUUUCUCGCGAAGCGGUCCUGCCCAGGGAAGGCUACGAACAGUCCACGCAGCCUGUUCUAAGAGCUGACACCUCCAAAGCAAAGACCGUCCAGAGGGUUUUGAGUCAGAAGCAGCAGCAAAAGCCAUUUCAGUGUAACACGUGGUUGUGCCCUCCCUCAGCCUUCCCCACCUACUGUCACACAGACAUGGGUCCUUCCCCCACACUUUGACACAGCAGCAGCAUCCAUGACUUAAUUCUGAAAGGAACCUUCGGAUUUCAUUUCCCUGAAAUUAGAUUUAAUUCCAGCCCAGGAAGCUGUGUCUGAGCACAGACAGGCCCUGGAUUUGAGCACACACACCAGAAGGGUGCACUGUGUCUAUUGGACAGCGCAGAAUCCUCUGAGUACGUUAAAAUACCGUUUAGAAAGCAAGUAACAUUACUGUUAGUGACCUAUGUUUAAAGAGAAGAAAGUUAAAAAGAUCUACUAGAGUUUUCACUGACCACUUUUCAGGCGAGGUCACUGCCUGUGAUUUCUAUCCUUUCUUUUCUUGAGCUCUCCCUGCCUUGCCCCCCCCG